CAGCCUACACAUGCAGUCGAACGAACUCUUCGGAGUUAGUGGCGGACGGGUGAGUAACACGUGGGAACGUGCCUUUUGGUUCGGAAUAACUCAGGGAAACUUGUGCUAAUACCGAAUGUGCCCUUCGGGGGAAAGAUUUAUCGCCAUUAGAGCGGCCCGCGUCUGAUUAGCUAGUUGGUGAGGUAACGGCUCACCAAGGCGACGAUCAGUAGCUGGUCUGAGAGGAUGAUCAGCCACACUGGGACUGAGACACGGCCCAGACUCCUACGGGAGGCAGCAGUGGGGAAUCUUGCGCAAUGGGCGAAAGCCUGACGCAGCCAUGCCGCGUGAAUGAUGAAGGUCUUAGGAUUGUAAAAUUCUUUCACCGGGGACGAUAAUGACGGUACCCGGAGAAGAAGCCCCGGCUAACUUCGUGCCAGCAGCCGCGGUAAUACGAAGGGGGCUAGCGUUGCUCGGAAUUACUGGGCGUAAAGGGCGCGUAGGCGGAUCGUUAAGUCAGGGGUGAAAUCCCGGGGCUCAACCUCGGAAUUGCCCUUGAUACUGGCGAUCUUGAGUAUGAGAGAGGUAUGUGGAACUCCGAGUGUAGAGGUGAAAUUCGUAGAUAUUCGGAAGAACACCAGUGGCGAAGGCGACAUACUGGCUCAUUACUGACGCUGAGGCGC
rnacentral:rRNA from 1 species